rnacentral:rRNA from 1 species
GGAGGAAAAGAAACCAACAGGGAUUGCCCCAGUAACGGCGAGUGAAGCGGCAAAAGCUCAAAUUUGAAAUCCUGCGGGAAUUGUAAUUUGAAGGUUUCGUGGUCUGAGUCGGCCGCGCCCAAGUCCAUUGGAACAUGGCGCCUGGGAGGGUGAGAGCCCCGUAUGGCGCACGCCGACUCUUUGCACCGCGGCUCCGACGAGUCGAGUUGUUUGGGAAUGCAGCUCUAAGUGGGUGGUAAAUUCCAUCUAAAGCUAAAUAUUGGCGAGAGACCGAUAGCGAACAAGUACAGUGAUGGAAAGAUGAAAAGCACUUUGAAAAGAGAGUGAAACAGCACGUGAAAUUGUUGAAAGGGAAGGGCUUGCAAGCAGACACGGUUUUACCGGGCCAGCGUCGAAAAGGGGGGAGGAACAAGAACUCGAGAAUGUGGCGCGCACCUUCGGGCGCGCGUGUUAUAGCUCGUGUUGACGCCUCCAUCCCUUUUCGAGGCCUGCGAUUCUAGGACGCUGGCGUAAUGGUUGCAAGCCGCCCGUCUUG